AACCGGACGCCCUCCGCGUCCCCGGACGAGGGAUCAGUACCCGGCGCGCGACAAGACUGGCCAAG
rfam:Microbacterium testaceum StLB037 DNA, complete genome.